ensembl:lncRNA
GCACUAAGCACAUUUGCAAUUUUGCCUUUGAACAUCCAAGUUCUGGGAGUGCUGCUUUCCAGUCUUGCUUCACACUUUCAUGGAACUGCUGCUAAAAAAAAAGAUGUGUAAGAAAGAUGUCGAUACGUCUCCUGUUGAGCAGUAUGAAUGUAUGUUGCUAGCACGUAGAAUGUUCCAGUGAAUCCAAAGAAGGUUGGAAAGAAGGAGAAUACUUAUAUUGUGUUAUGCACACCAUUUCCACUAUUUAUGAUGGCGAUGGCACCCCACUCCAGUACUCUUGCCUGGAAAAUCCCAUGGACGCUGGAGCCUGGUAGGCUGCAGUCUAUGGGGUCGCUAAGAGACGGACACAACUGAGCGACUUCCCUUUCACUUUUCACUUUCACACAUUGGAGAAGGAAAUGGCAGCCCACUCCAGUAUUCUUGCCUGGAGAAUCCCAGGGACGGGGGAGCCUGAUGGGCUGCCGUCUAUGGGGUCACACGGAGUCGGACACAACUGAAGCGGCUUAGCAGCAGCAGCAGCAGCCCAAUUUUGUCUUCAAAUUCCAUACAUCCAAAUAAGAUACACCAAAAAUCUCAGGGUGCCACCAAAUGCUUCACCAGCUUCUCAGUCUCACCCAAAAUUGCUGCUCUGUGUCAUGAAGCAGUAACUGCCCAGAAGAUCUUUAGUUCAAAACCAACCACACCAAGACUGGAAAAUACGGCGCAGAGAGAGGAGGAGGAUAUAAGCUUGGAAAUCCUGAGAGAAACAGUUCUGCCAAAGGGAUAUACAGAUUUGCACAGUUUGCAACCUGCACAUGGGCUCCAGGCUGAGCUGGGAGAUAAGACCACCAGAAAAUCUAACCUAUUGCAACUCUCCUUCCCAACAUGGAUGUACAACAUUUGCUGUGGACAAGGCUAAACAUGCCCAAGAGUUAAUGCACUCUCUAAAAAUGAGCAAAUACUCAAAACACCUUGCCCUCCAAUUGAGAUGAUUCUAGGUCACAGACCCUAUAUCCUCCUGGAAGAC